CAUGCCGUAAACGAUGAUAGCUAGGUGUGGGGGGUUAUAUGCCAUCCGUGCCGGAGUUAACACAAUAAGCUAUCCACCUGGGGAGUACGGCCGCAAGGCUAAAACUCAAAGGAAUUGACGGGGGCCCGCACAAGCAGUGGAGUAUGUGGUUUAAUUCGAUGCAACGCGAAGAACCUUACCAGGUCUUGACAUCCGACUAACGGAGCAGAAAUGCACUGGUGCCCGCAAGGGAAAGUCGAGACAGGUGG
rnacentral:rRNA from 1 species